UUGAUGAUGAUAUGGUCACAUAUUUAAGAUCAAUGUAUUCCUAUGUUUAUAUACAUUAGAUCUUAAAUAUGUGACCAUAUCAUCAUCAA